GGUAAAAUUGCAACAUAUGUUCAACAUAUGUUUCGAGUAACAUAUGUUGAACAUACGUUGAACAUAUGUUGAACAUAUGAAUUUUUCACAGUAUGUUGAACAUAUGUUUGAAAUAUAUUGUUAACAUAUGUUUGAAAAAUACGUUAAACAUAUUACAGACUCAAAACAUAUGUUGAACAUAUAUUUGUGGUAUUCAUAUGUUCAACGUAUGUUUAACAUAUUUUGAACAUAUGUUUGUUUAAAACAUAUGAUCAGCAUAUGUUUUCAAUUUGCGUUAUGUUGAUUAAACAAGUUUGUUGGCUUAAAUUUUUAGAUAUGUAGUAAUGAAUGCGUGUAUAAACAAAUUAUAUAAUCAACAUUAGCCAUGCAUUUUUUUCAUAUGAAGUGUUUCGUUAACAAAUCCAGAUUUAAGCUUGAAUCGGUUUUAAAUUUAGUGUUCAUAAACAUACGUCAGAUUUUACGUCACGGAGGCAGAAGAUCAAUCUGCAGGAUGGAUUUAAACUUGUACUUAUAAGGAAUGCAGUGACUAGUGGACACAUCACAGAUGGCAUCAAAUAACACAGUGUCAGAGAUUAUGAAGAACAAAUGGAUGUAGUAGUGCAGAGGUUUGUAAGAUUUCUUGAAUGCAGUCUGAAGACAAUGAAUAAAUGAAAGAUCCAGGAUCCAGAUAUUCGUCCUGAGCUCAAAGAUAUCUGCACUACAUUUUCUAUACAAGUUAUGACAGAAGUUUAGAGUUGACUUGUGAAAUGAUAAACAGCACAUCGAAAAAGAAGUUGGACAAAAAGUGGGAUUAAUGCAGAAACUAUUAAAGCUGCAGUGAGUGAGAACAUUCACAGGAGAAUAACAAACUUGUCUAUAUGAUAUUUGCAACAAUAAAAAUGAUAUGUAUUUUUAUCUCUGUUUUU